AACGAACGCUGGCGGCAUGCCUAACACAUGCAAGUCGAACGAGACCUUCGGGUCUAGUGGCGCACGGGUGCGUAACGCGUGGGAACCUGCCCUUAGGUUCGGAAUAACUCCCCGACAGGGGUGCUAAUACCGGAUAAUGUCUUCGGACCAAAGAUUUAUCGCCCUUGGAUGGGCCCGCGUUGGAUUAGCUAGUUGGUAGGGUAAAAGCCUACCAAGGCGACGAUCCAUAGCUGGUCUGAGAGGAUGAUCAGCCACACUGGGACUGAGGCACGGCCCAGACUCCUACGGGAGGCAGCAGUGGGGAAUAUUGGACAAUGGGCGAAAGCCUGAUCCAGCAAUGCCGCGUGAGUGAUGAAGGCCUUAGGGUUGUAAAGCUCUUUUACCCGGGAUGAUAAUGACAGUACCGGGAGAAUAAGCUCCGGCUAACUCCGUG
rnacentral:rRNA from 1 species